rnacentral:rRNA from 1 species
UGAGGAAUAUUGGACAAUGGGCGAAAGCCUGAUCCAGCAAUGCCGCGUGAGUGAAGAAGGCCUUCGGGUUGUAAAGCUCUUUUGUCAGGGAAGAAACGGUAGUAGCGAAUAACUAUUACUAAUGACGGUACCUGAAGAAUAAGCACCGGCUAACUACGUGCCAGCAGCCGCGGUAAUACGUAGGGUGCAAGCGUUAAUCGGAAUUACUGGGCGUAAAGCGUGCGCAGGCGGUUGUGUAAGUCAGAUGUGAAAUCCCCGGGCUCAACCUGGGAAUUGCAUUUGAGACUGCACGGCUAGAGUGUGUCAGAGGGGGGUAGAAUUCCACGUGUAGCAGUGAAAUGCGUAGAUAUGUGGAGGAAUACCGAUGGCGAAGGCAGCCCCCUGGGAUAACACUGACGCUCAUGCACGAAAGCGUGGGGAGCAAACAGGAUUAGAUACCCGUGUAGUCCCUGAGCGGGCUGGCAAGGCGCAU